rnacentral:lncRNA from 1 species
GAGACUAUACUCAAAUUUGGAGAGAAAUUGUGAGUCUUGAGUCUUCUUCUUCCUUUGCCUUAUCUUGUGAGCAAUGGUGAGCUUCAAGUGGUGGCACUCCAUCACUUAUCUUGGUUCAAGGUUCCAAGUGGCGUGAAUGGCUUCUUCCAAUUCUCAAAAUCCAGCAAGCAUCUUCUUCUAUAAGUGUUCUUCUUUCCUUUUCUUCAAUUUUCCAUUCGGUAUUUUUUAUUCCUAGAGUUUACUUCUUUUUCUACCGUUUAUUUUUGUGUUUCCAGCAUUGUGUUCUUAAUUCUGUUUUGGUUCAGUAGCUAGCUUUAAUUUCUGUCCAGUUUUAAUUCUUGUUCUUCAUUCCUUGUGUUUUGAUUCAAUUUGACAAAACAUGGACUUCCAUAUGAGUUUUGGUUGGUGCUAAGUUUUGGUGAGUUCUUGAAUUAGAACAUUGAUCCAAUUCUAAAGUAAAGUGCCUUUCAAAUCCAGCUCAAGUUGAUCCUAAGAAUGUCAAGAAUCAUGUAUUCUUGCUAUUGCAUUCACAUCAUGUGGUAUCUAGAGUCUAGGCUUGUUUCUUGCUUAAUUUUGAGUUGUAUUGCACUUUAAAUUUCAAGAGCUCUUAAAUUCAAG